GACGAACGCUGGCGGCGUGCCUAAUACAUGCAAGUAGAACGCUGAAGGAGGAGCUUGCUUCUCUGGAUGAUUUGCGAACGGGUGAGUAACGCAUAGGUAACCUGCCUGGUAGCGGGGGAUAACUAUUGGAAACGAUAGCUAAUACCGCAUAAUAGUAGAUGUUGCAUGACAUUUGCUUAAAAGGUGCAAUUGCAUCACUACCAGAUGGACCUGCGUUGUAUUAGCUAGUUGGUGGGGGAACGGCUCACCAAGGCGACGAUUCAUAGCCGACCUGGGAGGGGGGUCGGCCACCAUGGGACUGGGACACGGCCCAAAAUCCUACGGGAGGCAGCAGUAGGGAAUCUUCGGCCAUGGGCGGAAGGCUGACCGAGCAAAGCCGGGUGGGUGAAGAAGGGUUUCGGAUCGUAAAGAUCUGUUGUAAGAGAAGAAAGAGAGUGAGAGUGGAAAGUUCACACUGAGACGGUAUCUUACCAGAAAGGCACGGCUAACUACGUG
rnacentral:rRNA from 1 species